rnacentral:rRNA from 1 species
AUUGAACGCUGGCGGCAGGCCUAACACAUGCAAGUCGAGCGGAGCGGCGGACGGGCGAGUAAUGCCUAGGAAUCUGCCUGGUAGUGGGGGAUAACGUCCGGAAACGGGCGCUAAUACCGCAUACUAUCAGAUGAGCCUAGGUCGGAUUAGCUAGUUGGUGGGGUAAAUGCCUACCAAGGCGAAGAUCCGUAACUGGUCUGAGAGGAUGAUCAGUCAGCUUGGAAUGUGGACACGGUCCAGACACCUACGUGAUGCAGCAGUGGGGAAGAUUGGGCAAGGGGGGAGGUCCGGAUCCAGCCAUGCCGCGUGGGUUGUGAGUGUCUUCGGAUUGUAAAGCACUUUAAGUUGGUGGACGUUACCAUCAGGAUAAGCACCGGCUAACUGCGUGCCAGCAGCCGCGGUAAUAC